rnacentral:rRNA from 1 species
GGCGAGUGAGCGGCAAAAGCUCAAAUUUGAAAUCUGGUACCUUCGGUGCCCGAGUUGUAAUUUGGAGAGGGCAACUUUGGGGCCGUUCCUUGUCUAUGUUCCUUGGAACAGGACGUCAUAGAGGGUGAGAAUCCCGUGUGGCGAGGAGUGCGGUUCUUUGUAAAGUGCCUUCGAAGAGUCGAGUUGUUUGGGAAUGCAGCUCUAAGUGGGUGGUAAAUUCCAUCUAAAGCUAAAUAUUGGCGAGAGACCGAUAGCGAACAAGUACAGUGAUGGAAAGAUGAAAAGAACUUUGAAAAGAGAGUGAAAAAGUACGUGAAAUUGUUGAAAGGGAAGGGCAUUUGAUCAGACAUGGUGUUUUGUGCCCUCUGCUCCUUGUGGGUAGGGGAAUCUCGCAUUUCACUGGGCCAGCAUCAGUUUUGGUGGCAGGAUAAAUCCAUAGGAAUGUAGCUUGCCUCGGUAAGUAUUAUAGCCUGUGGGAAUACUGCCAGCUGGGACUGAGGACUGCGACGUAAGUCAAGGAUGCUGGCAUAAUGGUUAUAUGCCGC